rnacentral:misc_RNA from 1 species
UCUCCGUUGGUGAACCAGCGGAGGGAUCAUUACCGAGUUCCAGCAACUCCCAACCCUUGCGAACCGUACCCCAGUCUGUUCUCGUUGCUUCCGGCAGGCGGGGGGGGCCACCUGGCCCCUCCCCCUGCCGGGGGCGGCGGGCCCCCUGAACCUUUAUAUCUCAACCACUGAAACCCGUCUGGGCAAAACAAAAAAUAAUCAAAACUUUCAACAACGGAUCUCUUGGCUCUG